GACAGAGGGUGCUAGCGUUGUUCGGAAUUACUGGGCGUAAAGGGCGCGUAGGCGGCCAUGUAAGUCGGGUGUGAAAUCCCGGGGCUCAACCCCGGAACUGCAUUCGAUACUGUGUGGCUUGAGACCGGAAGAGGUGGGUGGAAUACCCAGUGUAGAGGUGAAAUUCGUAGAUAUUGGGUGGAACACCGGUGGCGAAGGCGGCUCACUGGUCCGGUUCUGACGCUGAGGCGCGAAAGCGUGGGGAGCAAACAGGAUUAGAAACCCCCGUAGUCC
rnacentral:rRNA from 1 species